GCUGAGGAAAACUGUCAACAGCUCUGGGCCCGCUGGAGCCAUCGAAACUCUGGAAGUGAAACAGUCACUAAGGGCUGUGGCUGCCUCUGCUACAGUGGCAGGAGGGGGACCUGGAUCUGUAGAGGCUUUGAGGGUUGACUUAGCUCUGGUUACUUGACAAACAUGUAUUGAUCUCUUCCCAUGUGGAGGCCCCUCCAGAAACCAGCAGUGGUGACUGCUACGAGACAGUUGUCACAGCUAACUCUCAUGGAGCCCUUUCUGCAGCCCCCGGAGCUGGGCCUAAGAGCCUGCUCUCCUUCAUCCUCACAACCACCCUGAGAAGUCUGGCUCCUGCCCCUGUGACUCAUCAAAGACAGCUGAUUGGGGGAAGCAGACCACAGCAGUGGACUCCAAGAGGAUUCUGGGAACAAACUGAGGCCAACUUGCUGUGUGUGCAAAGGCAUGGUCUGGGGCCAACCAAAGCCAGCAGAGGUGGCCCUGCACUGUCGGGUCAGAGGCCGGGAGCUGACCAUCCGAUGUGUGACACCUUCUUGGAGGACAAAGUGAAGAGAUCAGGUAACGUUAUCUGUCUGGCUUUCUCAACACAUGGAUAUUGAUCGAGAGGAAUCUGGAAGGAUGGUCAACCAGUACUCAUUUCAGAUGACUGUUAGUCCUGUCAUUUUCAUUUAUUUUAUAUCUUUCUACAUUUUGGAAUUUUCUACAAAGAGCACAUACCAUUGCCCUUGUUGGAAAAAAUAAAGUUAUCUUCAUUUGGUGGGGAAAAGGAAGGACUGGAAUCCCGUGUGUCUCUUACCCUUGGUGGUCAAACUGCCUUGGUGGGGGGUCUUUCUUGCUUCCAUCCCUCCCUGUAUCUUAGCCUCUUCUUCAGACCAUGGAGUCCUUGGUGGUCCCCAAGGGUGCCCAGCAACCCUGUGCCUUACCUGAGCUGGGGUACUCCACCACCAUGGGCAGAUACUGGCUCUUGCUCACGUCCACGGGCACGAAGGCUGUGUAUUUGCUGAUGACAUUGCAGGCCUUGCUGGUGUGCACAGCGUUCACCUGGUAGCGGCGACUGGACCCUGCAGGAGGAGGGUAAGGGGACACUGGGCUCCGAAGUCCAGUCUGACAGGGAAGUUCUGGAAGCUGAAAGCAGGGUGUGGCUAGUGUUCCCUGUCCUUGGGGAUCUAAAAUGCAGGGGUCACCAACUGCUAAUUAAAGACAUUAAGAAAAAAAAAUCACCAUUUCACAAAAUAAAGGAUACUUUAGUGUAAAAAAAGUCAUUAUUUUAGAAUAAAAGAUAAUUCUCUGAAAUAACUUCAGUUUUUUUAAAAAACUAUAUUGCCUGUAUUUUUUAUUUUAAUUUUGAAAAGUCAACUGGGAAUCUUGCCUGGGGACUUCAUAGGACCCCUGACUGGUGGGUGCAGACCACUGAUCUGAUCCAUUAAACUGCCAAGAAGAUUGAAAAUCAGACAGAGUGGGCGCACAGGGUCACACAGUACAGGACCUGGCACUGUGACCCUGAAGCCCUUCCAGCUGGUGCAAGCAGUCUCCUGGCUGCUCCCUGCAGAAAGCUGGGUGAGGAGCUGAGAUGAUGAAGACGGAAGGUGCUUUAUAAGUUGCAAGGAAGCUUUCUUUCACAGAAAGAAAAAAAUAACGUGCAUUAUCGAAAAGUACACAUAAAAUAUACCCUACAUAUGAUGUAAAUAGAGCAUACAGCUAGAAGCACUCGUAUAAUGCUGCUUCUCUGUUUAUACACUACCUCUUCUCCAUACUUGUGCUCUAUCAAGCUCCCCCAGCCACUUUCUGAGGGAAGUCUACCCCAUUGCCUGGACUAAAUUAGCUCCCGCCAUCCCCCGCUAAACAAUGGCUUGGGAGCCCUGUAUUUUCGCUUAAUAGCACUCAGGACAAAUGCACUCAAUUAAUUAUUUGUGUAAUUAUUUGAUUGCUGUCGGCCUCUCUGCUAGUUUGUGCCAAGCACUUUGAGUAAGGAAGGAGGGGGUCAUUUUUCAUGUAUUUAUUUGCUAUUUCUAUUUCUUUGUCUGAGAAAUGUCUGUUCAUUUCAGAUGCCCAUUUUCGGAUUGGGUCUUUAAAUUUGGGAGGUCUGAUCUUUUUAAGUUCUUUAUAGAUUCGAGAUAGUAGACCUUUGUCUGAGGAAGAGCAG
ensembl:lncRNA